GUUUUUUCACAUAUACUCCUUAACAAGUAAUAGAAUGUUAAUAAUUGGCCUUUAGUGCCUUUAAAUAUAAUACAACUUUCAACAACGGAUCUCUUGGCUCUCGCAUCGAUGARAACGCAGC
rnacentral:misc_RNA from 1 species